rnacentral:rRNA from 1 species
GAUGAACGCUGGCGGCGUGCCUAAUACAUGCCAGUCGAGCGAACAGACGAGGAGCUUGCUCCUCUGGCGUUAGCGGCGGACGGGUGAGUAACACGUGGAUAACCUACCUAUAAGACUGGGAUAACUUCGGGAAACCGGAGCUAAUACCGGAUAAUAUAUUGAACCGCAUGGUUCAAUAGUGAAAGACGGUUUUGCUGUCACUUAUAGAUGGAUCCGCGCCGCAUUAGCUAGUUGGUAAGGUAACGGCUUACCAAGGCAACGAUGCGUAGCCGACCUGAGAGGGUGAUCGGCCACACUGGAACUGAGACACGGUCCAGACUCCUACGGGAGGCAGCAGUAGGGAAUCUUCCGCAAUGGGCGAAAGCCUGACGGAGCAACGCCGCGUGAGUGAUGAAGGUCUUCGGAUCGUAAAACUCUGUUAUUAGGGAAGAACAAAUGUGUAAGUAACUAUGCACGUCUUGACGGUACCUAAUCAGAAAGCCACGGCUAACUACGUG